rnacentral:misc_RNA from 1 species
AACGAGGCCGACCUGCGGCUGAGUUACCUGCGGAAGGAUCAUUACUGAGUGAGGGCCUUCGGGCUCGACCUCCAACCCUUUGUGAACACAACUUGUUGCUUCGGGGGCGACCCUGCCGUUUCGACGGCGAGCGCCCCCGGAGGCCUUCAAACACUGCAUCUUUGCGUCGGAGUUUAAGUAAAUUAAACAAAACUUUUAGCAAUGGAUCU